UACAGAGGUCUCAAGCGUUGUUCGGAUUCAUUGGGCGUAAAGGGUGCGUAGGCGGUCUGUUGCGUCUGCUGUGAAAACCCGGGGCUUAACCCCUGGCUUGCAGUGGAUACGGACAGACUAGAGGUAGGUAGGGGAGAAUGGAAUUCCCGGUGUAGCGGUGAAAUGCGCAGAUAUCGGGAGGAACACCGGUGGCGAAGGCGGUUCUCUGGGCCUUACCUGACGCUGAGGAGCGAAAGCGUGGGGAGCGAACAGG
rnacentral:rRNA from 1 species